rnacentral:lncRNA from 1 species
GAUCCCACUGAUGAUCCCAUCCAUCCCAAUGAUCCCACCGAUGAUCCCAUCCAUAAUGAUCCCACUGAUGAUCCCAUCCAUCCCAAUUCUCCCACAGAUGAUCCCAUCCAUCCCAAUGAUCCCACAGAUGAUCCCAUCCAUCCCAAUGAUCCCACUGAUGAUCCCAUCCAUCCCGAUGACCCCACAGAUGAUCCCAUCCAUCCCAAUUCUCCCACAGAUGAUCCCAUCCAUCUCGGCGAUCCCACCCAUCCGCAGUCCCAUGUCACUCUCCGAUGCCAUGACACCAGUGGUGAUCCCACUCAUCCCACUGAUUAUCCCAGCAAUCCCACCCAUCACACUGAUCCCAUCAGCACACUGAUCCCACUGACGCCACUGAUGAUCCCACCAGGGAUCCCACCAAUGAUCCCAUCAGGGACCCCACCCGUGUCACCCAUCGAUGCCAUGAUCCCACCGAUGAUCCCACAUUGGACCCCACCCGUGUCACCCAUUGAUGUCCUGAUCCACUGAUGACCCCACCAAUGAUCCCACCAAUGACCCCACCAUGGACCCCACUCAUCCCACCCAUCCCCUCCAUCCCAGUGAUCCCAUGCAUCCCACGGAUGAUCCCAUCCACUCCAAUGAUCCCAUUAAUCCCAGUGAUAGCAUCCGAUCCCCACUGGUUCGCCAUGAUUGAUCCACCAGUUGGAUUCCACCAUGUCACCCACCAAUGCCAUGAUCCCACUGGUGACCCCACCAUGGAUCCCACUGAUGACACCGCCAUGGACCCCACCCAUGUCACCCGCGAUCUGCCACGAUCCCACCAAUAUCCCACAAUUUGGACCCACCCGUGUCACCCAUUGACUGUCCUGGAUCCACUGAUGACCCCACUAAUGGAUCCCACCUGUGUCACCCAUCGAUGCCACGAUCCCACCAAUGAUCCCACUGAUGACCCCACCAAUGAUCCCACCAAUGAUCCCACCAUGGACCCCAGCUCAUACCACCCAUCCCCUCCAAUCCCAUGAUCCCAUGCAUCACCACCGGAUG